CAUCUACUUUUUAGUUGUAAACAUGUUUUUGGUUUCGACUAACCAACUAUUUUCCUCGUAAAUUCCUAGUAAAAUUCACCCUCCGAUUUUAAAAAUUUCCUAUAAAUAUGUCGUUUGUGUUUCAUUUGAAACACACCAAAAAGAAAAGAAAAAAGAAAAUGUGAAAGGAAAAAAAUGGCUGGUUAUAUGAAUAUCUUCGAGUUGCAGAGAUGGAUGUAUACGCACAGAGAUACUCACGGGAGAGUGACGAAAAAAUAUCUCGAAAGGCUGGAGACAUUUAUGCAUCAAGCAGAUUCUACACCGCUCAUGCGCGGUAAGAUAUUUAUUGUGGCCAGUCUUUCUUACGCCAUCCAACCUACCACCGGAGAUGUGCAUGCAACGGAUGAUUGUUCAAUUGAAACAUCCAAAAAAGUCUUGACCAUAUUAAUACUUGGUCCGAAGCAUCCAAAAAAGUCUAUAGAUGAUUUUCUACAACCACUGAUAAAAGAAUUGAAAUAUUUGUGGUCAACAGGGAUGAGGACGUAUGAUUGUUCAUCCGAAACAAAUUUUGCGAUGCGAGCUAUGGUUUUGUGGACUAUAAGUGAUUUUCCUGCUUAUGGGAUGUUGUCUGGAUGGACUAACACAUGAGAGAUUAUCUUGUCCAUAUUGUAAUGGAAUGACAUAUGUGUUUCAAUUGAAGAAUGGUAGGAAGACAAGUUGGUUCGAUUGUUACCGUCGUACCGAAGAAAUAAGACACUGUUUAGACACAAAGGGUUAACUGGAGAAAAAAAUUGAAGUGCAAAUCAAUUAUGAAAAAGGGAAACCCGCUGAGAUCACAAAGGAAAUGUGGGAUGGCCUCAUCCGUUAUUGGAGCUUGCCAUCGUUUAUUAGAGUGUUCAACAGUUGCUCUGCUUCCCGUCUGACGAAAGAUGAGCAUGGUAACUUGCUGAUGCUUCACUCUACAGAGAUGGGAGUUCUACCUUUUCUUAAGGAUCUUUACUAGAGGACCCACAAGAACAAGGUUGGAAAAUUUGUAGAUCCUAGGUCCGAGCAACUCUACAACGACGUGAUUUCUCGCAUUAUAGAGUGCCAAAUCCAGCUGACCCAACAGUCCCCCGAUGGAAUACCCGUCACAUUAUCCACACCUGAAGUGGAUACGAUUUACAAGGAGGCGGUCCAUAAAAAAAGGGACGUACAUUGGGGAUUGGUUCUGUUAACGAUGUCCCAAGAGCGACAUCGUCCUAUGGUCAGAGACGGGAUGAUGAGACUGUUCAGUUGUGUUCUGAGUUGAAAGCGAUGCAUUCUUAGUUAAACGCGGCCCGUUCUGAGUUGAACGUGACGCGUUCUGAGUUUGAACGCGACGCGUUCUGAGUUGAACGCGACGCGUUCUGAGUUAAACGCGACACAUUCUGAUUUGAGCGUGACGUAAGCUCAUAUGGGUUCACUCCAGGGUUUUGGACAUUGUAACGGCUGGAAAUCCGCAAUUAGAGAUGAUGUUGGAGGCAAGACAGGCAAAAUUUAGCAUUCCACCGCCACAACGCCCAGAAGAGAAAGAGGAAGAGAUGGAGAGAAGGAGUCAAGACUACUUCCAGUACAACAACCCCUAGCUAGUUUUUUUCACUUUCUUGUAUUAUAAAUUUGAAACUUAAAUAUUUAUAAAAUAACUUUUUCGUAUUGUUCUAGUAUUUAAAUUUUUUAAUAAUUUUAAAAUAAUUUUUAUAUUUAUUUUAUUGUAUUUCUUAAUAUAGAAAAUACAAGAAUCAUAAUAAAUCCGUAGCUACAUUAUGUCCAUUUAACGAGGAAAAAGUCGUUCUAUCGAUGUAAAUUGAAGGAGUCUUUUACGUGGCAGAAGAUGUUAAUUCCUUGUUAAGUUUUACGUCGCUUUCACGACGACAUACAGCGACAUCUUUACAAGGAAACUACCUUACGUGUCUUUUACGAUGAAAUGAUAUUAAAUGUCUUUUACGACUAAAUAUUAAAUUUUACUUUACGAUGAAUUUUGUCUUCGUAACUUAUAAUAAUGACGAUUUAGCGAGGAAAAAUAUGUUACGAUGGACGUUUAACGAAAAAUUA